GCCAUUUCAGAAGGCAGUGUGCUCGCUGAUGAAAGGCCAUGGUCCUUUUUUUAGGGAGUCUGCUGGAUCGGGCUCUGACAGUCCUCAGCUGCUCCAUAAAUCUUCUAUCAGUUCCAUCCAGCCAAAAAGAUGUCAUCACUGUUUCUCCUAGUGACAAGGAAUAAAAGGGCCAUCUCCAACCAGACUGUCAGAAAAUGAGGACCCGAGCCCAAGAUGAUUGGAACAUCCUUUGUGACCCCAGGACCCUGCUACUGUUCUCAGAGCUCUGCCCCUUGAUGCUCCUGAGGCUCCAACAGACUGGCACCCGAUAUUUCGCUUCAGUGACAUGCAAGUGAUGAAUCCAUUCUCCAUCUGCAAGGCCCAGCAACUUCAACAGAGAGAAUUUGGAAACAAACUGCAUCAGUGAAGAGUGCUCACAGCCUUUCCAGCCUUUCCUCCUGACUCUCUCAACCCAG
rnacentral:lncRNA from 1 species